UAUUUAUUUAUAUUAAUUAUGAAGAUUAUGAUAUUAUUUGAUUGCAGAUUCUUCUCUUUUUCCUUUUCUUUCUUUCUUUCUUUUCUUUUCUUUUCUUUUUUCUUUUCUUUCUUUUUUUUUUUUUUUGUGAGCUUUCCCCCUGCCACCUUUGACAUUUCACUGUGCAUUUUAGGAAAGAACCUUUUUGCUAGAGGGGCCUGCUGAAAGUUUUUAACUUUUCUAUCUAUCGAGGGAAUUACAGACAACGUACCAUUUUAUUCUGCUUGAGGGGCCCCAAGGCCCUUGUACAACCGACAGCUCUUACUUUUAAAUGCAAUCUCUUUUCUACAUACAUUAUUUUCUUAAUUGUUAGCUAUUUAUAGAAAGCUUCGAUAGAACUGUUUCAACUGUAUAAAUAUUUACUAUUCAAAUAAAAUAUUUUCAAAGUCAAAA
rnacentral:lncRNA from 1 species